rnacentral:lncRNA from 1 species
CCUUCUUUCUUAACAGCAUCUCCCGAUACAUCGGGUGGAACCAUCGACUUUUGCCCUCCGACUCUCGAAGCCUCUUCCUCAGAACCUCGGACUUCGCCUCGGCAUCCUUGACCGCCUGCUACUCGUAGGCUGGCUGAAUCUUCAGCCGCUGCAGUUCGGCCUUCUCCUGCCCAAGGGCCACAGACAGUUCUUCCAUGGUCCCCCUCAAGG